ACUAGAAUUUUUUUGUAAAGAAAAGAAAGCAAGAAACAAAGAAAAUCACCGCCCAAGCACUUCAUACUGAUGGUUAACCCGCGAAGCUUAAAUUUAUCAGGGGGUUAAUCCUGACGGCUCACUAAAGCGUUUGCUUACGUCUGUCCAGAAAUCUUAAUUGCUGUUGGCCGCCCGUGUGUUCCCUUGUCAUUUUUAGUGGACCAGUGGUCAGCAGUGGGAUUCGCACAAUUUCUGAGGCACACACGUUUUAGGCAGCCCGCGGGCGACUGCUUCAUUUUUAGUGGACCACGGGUGAGUAAUGGCGCUUGCCCAACUUCUAUGGCACAUAUACGCUCUAAGAGUUUUUACUCACAUAGGACGGACAGAUUUCGGCUUCGCCAGGCCAUAUACAUGUAGCUUCGCUGCAAAAACGUGUAAUUUCCGCCCCGGCAGUUAUGAACAGAGCUGCUAGUGUUCAGCUUCCUUUUUUCUUUCUUUUUUUCUUUUUCGGGGUAUAGCAAGCAACGUCCCACUCGAUACACGGGCUAUGCAACACGUGUUGCAGCGAGGGGCUGCAGACCGGACGUUGCACCGAGAUAAAAACAAGAUGCGCAAGCUGGUUCACCGGGGUUUCACUACUGCGUGGAAAAAAAUAUUUCUGCGUCUCUUUCACUUCUCGCGUGUCUCCGCGGUGUGACAGCAGCGCACGCACGUGCGUCUCGUGUGCCAACCAUCCUCGGCUUCGCUAUCUGUAGAUUGGCCUAUCAAAUAAGUCCUCGUGCACGGACUGCUCUCGCUCACCGUCUGUACACGACACGUAUAUAUACGCUGCGCCUUCCCAUACCUGAAGUAUCGUCAGUGGCCGAUAUACAUGCGGUGCUCGCACUAAUACACAUUUCGGUUGCAAAGUGUGCUUAGUGGUAGAAAGUAAGUGGUUAAUAUUGACCCGGCCGCAGACAACACAAUGAAGGCACACUGCAUUAUCGCUGCGAUCGCGCUUGUGGUCAUUUCAGACAUGGCGAAGUCGUCUACGAUCAGAACUGACGUGCCACGUCGUAGCCUGUGCCCGUUGUUCCUGAUCCCCGAAGGCGGGUGCACCGAUCCGCCCAGCAACGUGACAUGUAGGGACCUGCGCUGCGAAGAAUACCAGCAAGAAUGCUGCAGCAGGGCCUGCGGUGGAAAAUUCUGCUUCGGCAUACGGGUCGGCAAUGAUUCGCCUCACGAAAGUCAUUAAGACGAAUUGUGCGGUGU